rnacentral:rRNA from 1 species
AUGGAGGCCACCGGCCGCGGGGUGUUCCCGAACAAGCCCACCCUCCCGCCGGGCCCCAAGAGGCGGGCGCCCCCGUCCCAGCAGACGCUCCUCCCGGCCUCCCCGCCGCCGCAGGCCCCCUCCUCGCUCCCGCUCGACUCCUUCCUCCUCCACCUCACCGCCGCGCCAGCCCCGGCCCCCGUCCCGCGCCGGACCCACCAGCAGACACCGCACCACCAGCACCACCACCCCACCCCGACCCCGGCGAGCUCCUUCCUCUCCCCGGCCUCGCAGGCGCUGGUGCUCGAGCUCUCCGCCACGCCGCUCCCGGCCCUCCCGGCCUUCCUCGCCGCCCGCCGCGACGACCUCCUGCGGGCCGCCGACCUGCCGUCCCUGCUCAAGGCGCUCGAGCUCUCCGGCCACUGGGAGUGGGCGCUGGCGCUGCUCCGCUGGGCGCGCGCCGAGGGGGCCGCCGAGGGCGCCGCGCCGCUGGAGAUGGUCGUGCGCGCCCUCGGCCGCGAGGGCCGCCACGACGCCGUCUGCGCGCUGCUCGACGAAAUGCCGCUGCUCCCCGGCGCCCGGCUCGACGUCCGCGCCUACACCACCGUGCUCCACGCGCUCUCCCGCGAGGGCCGCUACGACCGCGCGCUCCGGCUCUUCGACGAGCUCCGGCGCGAGGGCGUCGCGCCCACCCGCGUCACCUACAACGUCGUGCUCGACGUCUACGGCCGCAUGGGCCGCUCCUGGCCGCGCGUCGUCGCGCUGCUCGACGAGAUGAGGGCCGCGGGGGUGGAGCCCGACGGGUUCACCGCCAGCACCGUCAUCGCCGCCGCGGGCCGGGACGGCCUCGUCGACGAGGCUGUCGCCUUCUUCGAGGACCUCAAGGCCCGCGGCCACGCCCCGUGCGUCGUCACCUACAAUGCCCUCCUCCAGGUGUUUGGCAAGGCCGGGAACUACACGGAGGCUCUGCGAGUGAUCAAGGAGAUGGAGGACGCUGGCUGCAAGCCUGACGCCGUCACAUACAAUGAGCUCGCUGGGUCGUAUGCCAGGGCUGGGUUCUACCAGGAGGCCGCCAAAUGCCUCGACACCAUGAUCGACAAGGGGCUACUGCCCAACACGUUCACCUACAACACCAUAAUGACGGCGUAUGGGAAUGCUGGGAAGGUGGACGAGGCGCUGGCCCUGUUCGACCGGAUGAAGAAGAAUGGGUUUGUCCCAUACACGAACACAUACAAUCUUGUCCUCGGCAUGCUGGGGAAGAAAUCAAGGUUCGCGGCGAUGCUAGAGACGCUCGGGGAGAUGUCGAGGAGCGGAUGCACGCCGAACCGGGUGACAUGGAACACGCUGCUGGCGGUCUGCGGGAAGCGAGGCAUGGAGAGCUAUGUCACUCGGGUGCUUGAGGGGAUGAAGUCCUGCAGGGUUGAGCUGUGCCGAGACACCUACAACACACUGAUAUGUGCUUAUGGCCGGUGUGGUUCGAGGGCCAACGCGUUCAAGAUGUAUGAUGAAAUGACCGCUGCCGGAUUCGCCCCUUGCCUCACCACAUACAAUGCGUUGCUGAACGUGCUGUCUCGCCAAGGGGAUUGGACCGCUGCGCGUUCCAUCGUAAGCAAGAUGAAGAGCGAGGGUUUCAAGCCCAACGACAUGUCAUACUCGUUGCUGCUCCAGUGCCACGCAAAGGGGGGCAAUGCCGCGGGGAUCGAGGCCAUCGAGAAGGAAGUCUACCAAGUUUACAGAGGGAGUACCAUCUUCCCGAGCUGGGUCAUUCUGAGAACCCUCGUGAUCGCCAACUUCAAGUGCCGGCGGCUGGAGGGGAUCGAGAGGGCGUUCCAGGAGGUGAAGGCCCGGGGUCACAAACCGGACCUCGUCAUCCUCAACUCCAUGCUGUCAAUAUAUGCGAAGAAUGGGAUGUACAGCAAGGCAAUGGAGAUGUUCGAGUCGAUCGAGCAGUCCGGUCUGAGCCCGGACCUGAUCACCUACAACAGCCUGAUGGACAUGUACGCCAAGAGCAACGAGCCCUGGGAGGCGGAGAAGAUCCUGAAGCGGCUCAGGACCUCCCAGUCCCAGCAGCAGCAGCAGCAGCAGCUGAAACCCGACGUGGUGUCGUACAACACGGUCAUCAACGGGUUCUGCAAGGAGGGGCUGAUCAAGGAGGCCCAGAGGGUGCUGUCGGAGAUGAUCGCCGACGGCGUGGCCCCCUGCGUGAUCACCUACCACACGCUGGUCGGAGGGUACGCGAGCCGGGAGAUGUUCGCGGAGGCGAGGGAGGUGGUCGGGUACAUGAUCCAGCGCAAGCUGAGGCCCAUGGAGCUGACCUACAAGCGGGUGGUGGACAGCUACUGCAGGGCCAAGCGGUAUGAGGAGGCCCGCGACUUCCUCGCCGUGGUCGCGGAGACCGACCCGAAAUCCGACCAGAAGCUGCUGGGCGCGCUCGCGGCCCGCGUGGAGAGCGCCCAGUUCGGGAGAUGA